ensembl:scaRNA SCARNA13 small Cajal body-specific RNA 13
AGCUUUGUGACACUGCCCCUUGCAAGGAGGAUUGCUUGUGUGGCCCAACAAGGCUGCGGAGAACAACACAAGGAAUGAAAAGGCGUGACUUCUGGAGGAUCAGGAGUUUCAUGUGCGAUGUUCCUUGGAUAGACUUUGAGAAAGGCCUGCUUUCCACGGUGGUGAGGCUCUCCUCCUGUAGCCCUCACCUUUCUUGAGGCAGGUAAAGCAAAACCUGGCAGCCAGAUAUUGUUUGCAACAGGGAAAGCUAUUCCUGUCAGACACUUACAGCUGUCACAUAA